GCCGGCUUAGCGCAAUUGGUAGAGCAACUGACUUGUAAUCAGUAGGUUGAGGGUUCAAGUCCUUUAGCCGGCACCA
rnacentral:tRNA from 1 species